rnacentral:rRNA from 1 species
GCUUAAUACAUGCAAGUCGUGGGGCAGCAGGGUUGUAGCAAUACAAUCGCUGGCGACCGGCAAACGGGUGCGUAACACGUACGCAACCUUCCCGUUACUGUGGCAUAGCCCAGGGAAACUUGGAUUAAUACCACAUAUUAUAUAGAAGGGGCAUCUCUUUUAUAUCAAAGCUUCGGCGGUAACGGAUGGGCGUGCGGUUGAUUAGGUAGUUGGCGGGGUAACGGCCCACCAAGCCUACGAUCAAUAGGGGAACUGAGAGGUUGGUCCCCCACACUGGCACUGAGAUACGGGCCAGACUCCUACGGGAGGCAGCAGUAGGGAAUAUUGGUCAAUGGUGGGAACACUGAACCAGCCAUUCCGCGUGCAGGAAGAAGGGUCUCUGACUUGUAAACUGCUUUAGCAAGGGAAGAAAAAGCUCAUGCGUGAGAAAUUGACGGUACCUUGAGAAUAAGCACCGGCUAACUACGUGCCAGCCGCCGCGGUAAAAC